AGAGUUUGAUCCUGGCUCAGAUUGAACGCUGGCGGCAUGCCUUACACAUGCAAGUCGAACGGUAACGCGGGGCAACCUGGCGACGAGUGGCGAACGGGUGAGUAAUGCAUCGGAACGUGCCCAGUAGUGGGGGAUAGCCCGGCGAAAGCCGGAUUAAUACCGCAUACGACCUAUGGGUGAAAGCGGGGGACUCGCAAGAGCCUCGCGCUAUUGGAGCGGCCGAUGUCAGAUUAGCUAGUUGGUGGGGUAAAAGCCUACCAAGGCGACGAUCUGUAGCUGGUCUGAGAGGACGACCAGCCACACUGGGACUGAGACACGGCCCAGACUCCUACGGGAGGCAGCAGUGGGGAAUUUUGGACAAUGGGCGCAAGCCUGAUCCAUCCAUGCCGCGUGCGGGAAGAAGGCCUUCGGGUUGUAAACCGCUUUUGUCAGGGAAGAAACGCUCUGGGCUAAUACCCCGGGGUAAUGACGGUACCUGAAGAAUAAGCACCGGCUAACUACGUGCCAGCAGCCGCGGUAAUACGUAGGGUGCAAGCGUUAAUCGGAAUUACUGGGCGUAAAGCGUGCGCAGGCGGUUAUGCAAGACAGAUGUGAAAUCCCCGGGCUCAACCUGGGAACUGCAUUUGUGACUGCAUAGCUAGAGUACGGUAGAGGGGGAUGGAAUUCCGCGUGUAGCAGUGAAAUGCGUAGAUAUGCGGAGGAACACCGAUGGCGAAGGCAAUCCCCUGGACCUGUACUGACGCUCAUGCACGAAAGCGUGGGGAGCAACAGGAUUAGAUACCCUGGUAGUCCACGCCCUAAACGAUGUCAACUGGUUGUUGGACGGCUUGCCGUUCAGUAACGAAGCUAACGCGUGAAGUUGACCGCCUGGGGAGUACGGCCGCAAGGUUGAAACUCAAAGGAAUUGACGGGGACCCGCACAAGCGGUGGAUGAUGUGGUUUAAUUCGAUGCAACGCGAAAAACCUUACCUACCCUUGACAUGUCAAGAAUCUUGCAGAGAUGUGAGAGUGCUCGAAAGAGAACUUGAACACAGGUGCUGCGUGGCCGUCGUCAGCUCGUGUCGUGAGAUGUUGGGUUAAGUCCCGCAACGAGCGCAACCCUUGUCAUUAGUUGCUACGAAAGGGCACUCUAAUGAGACUGCCGGUGACAAACCGGAGGAAGGUGGGGAUGACGUCAGGUCCUCAUGGCCCUUAUGGGUAGGGCUACACACGUCAUACAAUGGCCGGUACAGAGGGCUGCCAACCCGCGAGGGGGAGCUAAUCCCAGAAAACCGGUCGUAGUCCGGAUCGCAGUCUGCAACUCGACUGCGUGAAGUCGGAAUCGCUAGUAAUCGCGGAUCAGCUUGCCGCGGUGAAUACGUUCCCGGGUCUUGUACACACCGCACGUCACACCAUGGGAGCGGGUUCUGCCAGAAGUAGUUAGCCUAACCGCAA
rnacentral:rRNA from 1 species